rnacentral:rRNA from 1 species
UACGAAGGGUGCAAGCGUUACUCGGAAUUACUGGGCGUAAAGCGUGCGCAGGCGGCUAUGCAAGACAGAUGUGAAAUCCCCGGGCUCAACCUGGGAACUGCAUUUGUGACUGCAUGGCUAGAGUACGGUAGAGGGGGAUGGAAUUCCGCGUGUAGCAGUGAAAUGCGUAGAUAUGCGGAGGAACACCGAUGGCGAAGGCAAUCCCCUGGACCUGUACUGACGCUCAGGCACGAAAGCGUGGGGAGCAAACAGG